CCUACGGGAGACAGCAGUAGGGAAUCUUCCACAAUGGGCGAAAGCCUGAUGGAGCAACGCCGCGUGGGUGAAGAAGGUCUUCGGAUCGUAAAACCCUGUUGUUAGAGAAGAAAGUGCGUGAGAGUAACUGUUCACGUGUCGACGGUAUCUAACCAGAUAGCCACGGCUAACUACGUGCCAGCAGCCGCGGUAAUACGUAGGUGGCAAGCGUUAACCGGAUUUAUUGGGCGUAAAGGGAACGCAGGCGUUCUUUUAAGUCUGAUGUGAAAGCCUUCGGCUUAACCGGAGGAGUGCAUUGGAAACUGGGAGACUUGAGUGCAGCAGAGGGGAGUGGAACUCCAUGUGUAGCGGUGAAAUGCGUAGAUAUAUGGAAGAACACCAGUGGCGAAGGCGGCUCUCUGGUCUGUAACUGACGCUGAGGUUCGAAAGCGUGGGUAGCAAACAGGAUUAGAUACCCCGGUAGUC
rnacentral:rRNA from 1 species